rnacentral:tRNA from 1 species
GGAGAGAUGGCCGAGUCCGGUUGAAGGCGCUCGCCUCGAAAGCGAGUAGGCAUCUACGUGCCUCGUGGGUUCGAAUCCCACUCUCUCCGCCA